rnacentral:tRNA from 1 species
AGCGCUAUAGUAAAAUGGUAAAAGAUGGGUCUGCAAAACCUUGAGUGCGGGUUCGAAUCCCGUUAGUGCUC